GAUGAACGCUGGCGGCGAGCCUAAUACAUGCAAGUCGAACGCUGGAAAUCUAGCUUGCUAGAUUGAAGGAGUGGCGAACGGGUGAGUAAUACAUAAGCAACCUACCCACGAAGACUGGGAUAAUCUCUGGAAACGGGGACUAAUACCGGAUAGGUAAUCGGAAGGCAUCUUCUGAUUAUUAAAGGUUAAAAACACUGGUGGAUGGGCUUAUGGCGCAUUAGUUAGUUGGUGAGGUAACGGCCCACCAAGACGAUGAUGCGUAGCCGGCCUGAGAGGGUGAACGGCCACAUUGGGACUGAGACACGGCCCAGACUCCUACGGGAGGCAGCAGUAGGGAAUUUUCGGCAAUGGGGGAAACCCUGACCGAGCAACGCCGCGUGAGUGAUGACGGCCUUCGGGUUGUAAAGCUCUGUUGUAAGGGAAGAACGGUAGAUAGAGAAUAUCUAAAUGACGGUACCUUACCAGAAAGCCACGGCUAACUACGUG
rnacentral:rRNA from 1 species